AUAGAGAGAGAGCAGACCACAGCCCCCGGCAUUAUGACUAGCUUGUCUUUGUCUACCCACCCGGACCAUACUAUCCGAAUGUAGAUCGCUGGUACUGCCGUUUAAAGGUCACCUGGGACAUGCGCAAAACCAUGUAAACGCCUGCAUGACAUCGACCAGCUGAAGGACCAACCAGACAGACAACCAGCAAAGUGUCACAGCAUGGUGUGUUCAGCUCCACCUUCCUCCCCACCUCAUGUCCUGCACUGGCUGUAAUCCUCAGGCCCUGCAGUCUAUGGUGCUGACCAACAGCUGGGUAAGUGUGUGUGCUUGUAUACACAAGGAUUACGGCUUGCAUGAAUGGUCAGUCCACACACAGAGAGAGAGAUGAGAUGUUUAGCAUGUUUUUACAAUAAGAUAGAUUUGGAGUUAUAUAAACUUAGAUUUUUCGGCAAGGACAAAUACAGGGUACUACCCUCCACGACAACCUUCACUCCAAACCAAAACUACAAACCUACAACCUGAUUUUGGACUAAAUUACCUGUAAGGAUUCCUACUACCAAAGCUUCUUGUUUCCAAGCUAUACAGCAAAUUCUCUGGCAAACAAACAGAAACCUGAAAACACCAUCCAACCUGGAACUGAGUGAGUCAUGUUUAGUCUGAAUCUACAUUUAAAGCCAAGAAGAAAAAUACAUGACAAUAGUUUUUUUACUUUAUAAGGGCUGAAUGCUAAGUUAAGGCUACCAAGCUAGGACAGAACAUAACACUUCAAUGAGGUGUGAAGUGAGGUGUCAAAGCCCUUGAAACCAACAAUAGCAGGAGAGUUUCACAGCCUCCCCCACCCAAAUGCAGAGGCCUUUGAAGCCCCCUCCUGCGGUUCAGAGGUCAUUACAAUACAGUACCCUCUGGAUGUAAGAAUUGAGAAGACACCAAAAGAGUACAAAAAUAAGCUCAUUUUGGAAAAUCAAGAGACACUUUUUGCUGACUGCUAUAAAAAUGGGAACAUAAUCAACUUAAUCUUCCACACAGACCAUGGCGCAGUGCUAUAUUAACUAUCAAAAUAAAUAAAGUUGCAUACUCCAUAUAUAAACUACU